rnacentral:rRNA from 1 species
UACGUAGGGUGCGAGCGUUGUCCGGAAUUAUUGGGCGUAAAGAGCUCGUAGGCGGCCUGUCGCGUCGGUUGUGAAAGCCCGGGGCUUAACCCCGGGUCUGCAGUCGAUACGGGCAGGCUAGAGUUCGGUAGGGGAGAUCGGAAUUCCUGGUGUAGCGGUGAAAUGCGCAGAUAUCAGGAAGAACACCGAUGGCGAAAGCAGCUCUCUGGGACGGUACUGACGCUGAGGAGCGAAAGCGUGGGGAGCAAACAGG